rnacentral:lncRNA from 1 species
GUAUUAAAAAAAUAAAGGUUAGUGGAUAUUAUACCUUAGACUGGAGAAAGUUAGAUGACUAAAGCACCAGUUAAUAGUAUGAAGUUGGACUAAAUAAAGGUGGAUUAGUCAACAAUAAUGGUGUAAAAACCCUUUUUUGUUUUUGUAUUUGUUUUGCUUUUUUCUCUCUGUUUUUGUUUUUGAUUUCAAAAUUUUAUAAUAAUUUUGUGCACAAAUGCAUUGAUGAACAUUGUUCAAAAGAUGGCGAAGGGUUUAGUAAUGUAAUGAAUUUUUGCAGUGUUACUUACUAAUCAUUGUAAUGUAG